AUAUUUCGUUUUGGCAAGAAAAGGUUUUGAUUCUAUACUUUCAUUCAACAGUAAGCUGCUUGAGUGAUGGGAAAAUGAAUGUUUUUGAACGAAAUUUAGUUAGUGCUUUACUGCUGAAGUAGCCGUUUGUUUGGAUGCUGAGAAAAACGAUAUGAAAAUAAUAAUCAAAGGUACAACCAAAAAGCUGUGAUUUUAGAUAGGGUUUCCUUUUGGUUCGCAUGUGUUUGCUUGGUAAUUGUGAUAGUUUCUUUAAAUAUUGCAACAUGUCAUAGGCGUCGGACUAGUCGCUAGCAUAAGUGCAAGACGGAGUACUGAUGGCUGUAUCUUUAUUCUUUAAGUUAAGAGCCUUAGCUAACUUAGCGUCCUAACUCCUAAGGAAUAGUCACGUUUGUCUCGACGUGGUUAUCUUCCUUGAGGUCAGUUUGUGUCUUAGUUGAACGUAAUGUAUAUUCAUAAUUUGCCACGACCCAACUCCAUUCACCUCAGUCUGCUUUCGUGCUUGCAGGAUGCUAGGGGAAAUGAUGUUGAUCUCAGCCAGUAUAAGGGGAAGAUGCUCUUGAUGGUCAAUGUUGCAUCCCAAUGGUAUGCUUUAGCUUUUCGUGUUUUAUUUUUCUUUUUAGAUCUGUUAGUGCCUCUGUCUUAUCAAGUGCAGAAAGUUGGCUCAAUUCUGUUGGAGACUAAAUAUUUGGAUCUGAAUAAAAUUUGCCAGUGGAUGUGAAUGGUAAAGAAGCUGCUCCGUUGUACAAGUUCUUGAAGUCUAGCAAUGGUGGGCCUAUUUGAAGACAAUAUAAAGUGGAAUUUUUCCAAAUUCCUGGUUGAUAAAGAUGGGAAUGUUGUUGACCGUUAUGCAAAGGUGGCCAUAGAAAAAACGAAGCUUGUUUUGUAAUGGACUUUUGUUUUUGUACUGGACUUUUGCAUUUGUAUUGGACAUGCCAAUAAGUAAUUAUUCUAACAUAUUUUGGUGUAUUGAGAAGUUGUACAUGUCUAUCGCGAACUUUGUUGGAGCUUGGAGUUGUAAAUAUGUGUAGCUCUAGUUUUGGUAAUUUGACAAGUUCUACUAGACUUUUGCAUCUA